rnacentral:rRNA from 1 species
UAGGGAAUCUUCGGCAAUGGGGGCAACCCUGACCGAGCAACGCCGCGUGAGUGAAGAAGGUUUUCGGAUCGUAAAGCUCUGUUGUAAGAGAAGAACGUGUGUGAGAGUGGAAAGUUCACACAGUGACGGUAACUUACCAGAAAGGGACGGCUAACUACGUGCCAGCAGCCGCGGUAAUACGUAGGUCCCGAGCGUUGUCCGGAUUUAUUGGGCGUAAAGCGAGCGCAGGCGGUUUAAUAAGUCUGAAGUUAAAGGCAGUGGCUUACCAUUGUUCGCUUUGGAAACUGUUAAACUUGAGUGCAGAAGGGGAGAGUGGAAUUCCAUGUGUAGCGGUGAAAUGCGUAGAUAUAUGGAGGAACACCGGUGGCGAAAGCGGCUCUCUGGUCUGUAACUGACGCUGAGGCUCGAAAGCGUGGGGAGCAAACAGG